AACUGUCUUUUUCUUUUCCUUUAAACUAGAAUCCUGCAAUUGCUGACAUCUAUACUGAGCACGCCCAUCAGGUUGUAGUUGCCAAGUAUGCUCCCAGUGGAUUCUACAUAGCGUCUGGAGAUGUCUCUGGAAAGCUGAGAAUCUGGGAUACUACACAGAAGGAACACCUUCUGAAGUAUGAGUAUCAGCCAUUUGCAGGAAAAAUAAAGGACCUUGCCUGGACUGAAGACAGCAAAAGAAUUGCUGUGGUUGGAGAAGGAAGGGAAAAAUUUGGAGCAGUAUUCCUGUGGGAUAGUGGUUCUUCUGUUGGUGAAAUCACUGGGCACAACAAAGUGAUCAACAGCGUGGACAUAAAGCAAACAAGACCUUAUCGUCUAGCAACUGGCAGUGAUGACAACUGUGCUGCUUUCUUUGAGGGACCUCCAUUCAAGUUCAAGUUUACACUGAGUGUGAGUUUAAGCUUAGUUGUGGCUCUGUUAAACUUUCCAAGUUGACUGAAAGCUUUCCAACAAAAUUCCAGUCUGAACUGUUAAAACAGUUAAAAAAGUUCUCAGUUUCCUCUUUUGAGCCACGAUUGGCAUUAAGUCACUGUCUAGAGCCCAUGUUUAAGUUAUAACUGAAGGCUUGAUUCAGGCUGACAAAACUAAAAUAAACCAUUGCUUCAGGUUUUCUUCUUAA